AGUGAACGCUGGCGGCAGGCCUAACACAUGCAAGUCGAGCGGCAGCGGGUCCCCGCGAGGGGAUGCCGGCGAGCGGCGGACGGGUGAGGAACACAUCGGAAUCUGCCUGGUUGUGGGGGAUAACGUAGGGAAACUUACGCUAAUACCGCAUGAGACCCUGAGUCGACGGACUGGGGGUGAAAGUGAGGGACCUUCGGGCCUCACGCGACCAGAUGAGCCGAUGUCGGAUAGCUAGUUGGCGGGGUAACGGCCCGCCAAGGCGACGAUCCGUAGCUGGUCUGAGAGGAUGAUCAGCCACACUGGGACUGAGACACGGCCCAGACUCCUACGGGAGGCAGCAGUGGGGAAUCUUGGACAAUGGGCGCAAGCCUGAUCCAGCCAUGCCGCGUGGGUGAAGAAGGCC
rnacentral:rRNA from 1 species